rnacentral:SRP_RNA from 1 species
GCCAGGCGUGGUGGCGCGUGCCUGUAAUCCCAGCUAUUUGGGAGGCUGAGGCAGAAGAAUCGCUUGAACCCAGGAGGCAGAGGUUGCAGUGAGCCGAGACUGUGCCACUGCACUCCAGCCUGGGCGACAGAGUGAGAUUCCGCUUCAA